GAAUCUAUCAAUUCUAUAAAGCAAUACAUUUUUUAGAGCUCACAGCCACUCUCUCUCCUACGUGGCUCAACCUCAAUUCUUUAUUUGCUUCUCUGUGAAUUCUCUCAAAUCUCGUAUACAUAUUCUUUUCUCUCCAUUUUGUAACUCACGUAGAUUCUCACGGGAAUCAGCAUACACCAAAUCAAAACUCCUUAAUUUCGCACCCCACAGCAAUAAUUGAAUCAGUUUCAUCAAUCACCGUUUCAAUUGCGUGAUUCUGUCAAUCUUCCUCCCCAAUCCAUGUCAAUAUCAAUAGCACAAUUUUGGGAGUGAUUCAAUAAUAUCUUUCCCGACUCCAGGCGGCGCGACUCCAUUGCGGGGACGGCUUUAGGCGGCGACUCUCCUCCUCCGUCCUAUCUCCUUCCCUAUUGUCUGAACUAACCGGCAAGGCGGCGACACUAGGGCAGAAGAGAAACGACGGCAUAGUCAUUGUGGGUGCCGGAAUCGCUGGCCCCGCCCUCGCUUACACUCAGAAAGGUAUGCUGGUACUGCCAACAACAGCCUGAGAAAUUUGUAUGUUAUGUUUGUCAAACUUCAGAAAAUCUUUGGAUGUGUUUUAUUUGUGGUUUUGUUGCCUACGGGGAGGGGAUUGCUUUUCCAGUGUUUGAUAAACUAGAAGCAGAGUUGGCUAAAAGUUGGUGAGUUCAACACUCAGUUUGAGAAAUGGCAGCUGCUUCUGAACUCCAUUGUCGCAUUUAAUUCUCAUUCACCGUCAUCUUCGGCUUAUCAAUAUUCAAUUUUUGAGGUAUGUUCUCUAAGAUUUACUCGCAUUUUAUUUAUUACUGUUAAUUUUUUGGUGAAAGAACAUUGAACUAAACAUGUGGUUGAAACUGUUCUUGCUGAAUUAUUGAUUGUGUUGCUAAAGUGUUGGUUAUAUUUCAUUGUGUGAGAUUGCCGGCGAGGGAUGUUUUUUAUUCAAAUAUGCUAUUGUGUAUCAACUAUUCAAUCAAAUGCCUAAGUAAUAUUGUGUAUUGAUUUUUCUUCGAAUUUCAAGUGUUGUGAAUGUGAAAAUGUGGAGUUUUUGUGGAGACAAUUAUUUAAGAGUAGCCUAUGUUGUUAUAUACGGUUGUGGAUCUUUGAUUUUUCCUUUCAAUAUUUUUUUUCAUAUUUCAAUGAUUUAAACAUCCCAUGGCACGAUUUUUUUUGGUAUCAAUAUUGUUUUUCAUAUUUCGACGAUUAUUUUUUUUCAUAUUUAAGAGUAGGUUAUGUUGUUAUAUACAUUUUCUGUAGUGAAUUUGGGUGGUCGAGCACUCAAAUUUCUUUGCUGCAAAUGAUGUUUGAUGCCAAUGGCCUAUCUUGUAAUGUUGUUUUUAUAUAAGUCCUAUUAAGGUAUAGACAAGCUUUUAUAGCAUAUAUCUAAGAUUUGGGUCUAGAUUGCUGUAAUUUGGAAUACAACUUAUUGAGUUAUAAAGUGUUGACUGAUCUCCAAUCUAAUAAGUCAAUUUCGAGUGACAUGCUCCGUAAAAACUUUGACUUCUAUAUUAUCGACCAAAUUAAGGUGAAACAUGAAGGAGGCUGAUGAUAAUUUAAAUUGGUCUUCUUGUGCCAGUGUAAAGCAGGAAGUAAGUUUGCUGCAAUUUUUCUUAAUAUAGAUUUACACGUAUAUUUCUGUUCAAUUCAAGUGGUUUCACAAGUAAAGAGUUACCGCAUUAGCCAACUACAUACCAGCGAUGAUGGUGAAAUAGUCGCGCAUAUAUAUAAUAUGCCUGUCUUACAGUUAAGUUAAAUUUAUGUAUGGUCUUUUGUAUUCUAAACAUCAAUAUUUUUUAUUGUUUCUUCUUUCACAACACUCUAAUGAAACUUAAGGUGUUUGUAUCGCAUCUAUAUAUUUGUUUCACCUGCCUCACUUUCUAAAUUUGUUAUAGUAUUGCUUGUAAUGAAAUGAAACUUUCAUGGCAUGCGUAUCAGCUUGCUGAACACAGUGUUUGUUGAAGUUAUGAGACAUUAUUGGAAUUUUGAUCAAGGGAUAAA